rnacentral:rRNA from 1 species
GACGAACGCUGGCGGCGUGCUUAACACAUGCAAGUCGAGCGGUAAGGCCCUUUCGGGGUACGACGAGCGGCGGAACGGGUGAGUAACACGUGGGUGACCUCGCCCUCAGCUCUGGGAUAAGCCUGGGAAACUGGGUCUAAUACCGGAUAUGACUCCAUGACGCAUGUUGGUGGGGUGGAAAGCCUUGUGCGGCUGAGGAUGGGCCCGCGGCCUAUCAGCUUGUUGGUGGGGUGAGGCCUACCAAGGCGACGACGGGUAGCCGGCCUGAGAGGGCGACCGGCCACACUGGGACUGAGACACGGCCCAGACU